AAUGAACGUUGGCGGCGUGGAUUAGGCAUGCAAGUCGAGCGAGAACCCCGCAAGGGGGGACAGCGGCGAAAGGGACAGUAAUGUGUAGAUUAUCUGCCCUCAGGUCCGGGAUAGCUGCGGGAAACUGCAGGUAAUACCGGAUAACAUCUCCGGAUCAAAGGUGUGAUUCCGCCUGAGGAUGAGUCUGCAUCCUAUUAGCUAGUUGGUGGGGUAAUGGCCUACCAAGGCAUUGAUGGGUAGCAGGUGUGAGAGCACGACCUGCGUCAUUGGGACUGAGACACUGCCCAGACACCUACGGGUGGCUGCAGUCGAGAAUCGUCGGCAAUGGGCGCAAGCCUGACCGAGCGACGCCGCGUGUGGGAUGAAGGCCUGCGGGUUGUAAACCACUGUCAGAGGGGAUGAAAUGCAGGUGGGUUCUCCCAUCUGUUUGACAUAGCCUCAGAGGAAGGACGGGCUAAGUUCGUG
rnacentral:rRNA from 1 species